GAUGAACGCUGGCGGCGUGCCUAACACAUGCAAGUAGAACGCAGAAGCCAUGCUUGCUGGGUGGACUCGUGGCGAACGGGUGAGUAAACCGUGAGUAAACUGCUCUUAACUCUGGGUUAAGCCUGGGAAACUGGGUCUAAUACCGGAUCGAAGCGUCCACCACAUUAGGGAGUUGGAAAGAUUUAUCGGUUUUGGAAGGACGCGCGGCCACUCAGCUUGUAGGUGAGGUAAUAGCUCACAAAGGCGAUGACGGCUAGCCGCCCUGAGAGGGUGACGCGCCACACCGUGACUGAGACACGGGCCAGACUCCUACUGGAGGCAGCGGUGGGAAUUAUAGCGCGAUGCGCGCAAUCCGUAUGCAGCGACGCCGCGUCGGAGAGGACUGCCGUCGGGUUGGAAACCGCGUUCGGUAGGAAAGAAGCGACAGUGACGGUACCUUCAGAGAAAGCACCGGCUAACUACGUG
rnacentral:rRNA from 1 species